rnacentral:lncRNA from 1 species
AGAAAAGAAAAGAAAAGAAAAGAAAAGAAAAGAAAAGAAAAGAAAAGAAAAGAAAAGAAAAGAAAAGAAAAGAAAAGAAAAGAAAAGAAAAGAAAAUUCACAAGACAUGUUUCGGCUUGAUCUAAAUGAGCUUCUGGGUAGUCAGAUGAACUGUGGAUUUUCUGACCUCUAUCAAACCCCUCAUGUCUUUGGUGUGUUCCAUACAAAAUGUUUUGCUCUAUCAGACCUCUAGAUUUGAUAAUUUGUGCUGGUAUUGAUGCAGAAAUGAAGCCACUGCCCUACAACAGGUGUUGCAAUAAAAUGCCUCUAAAGCAGUAGCCUGUUCUCUCUGCAGUGACUUUCUCUUCAUCAAAGGGCUGCUAUUUUUAUAUUCCAUGUUUUUUACAGGAUUAGCUCUGGUUGUUGGAAUGGUUUCAGCUCACUGCAGCUGUGGCAAUUGCAGUCCUUGGAAUUAAAUUACAGACGUUUCUGCCAUGAAAAACCCAAAGGCUCUGCACUGCAUUGUUUUUGAGCUAAAUGUAACACUGUGCUAAGCACAGGUUUGUUCCACUGCAGACAUGAAGGUCCCAGAAAAAUCAAGCUACCCAAACUCCUCUAUGCAUCCCAUAUCAGGAUUUCAUUCUACAACAACUUCUUGCUGUAACUUCUGGUUUUAGGAAGCAGGAUGCCUGAGCAGCACUGUGAGUUCCACAUCUCAGCAGUGAGAGUGGCUCAGCUCCUUUGUACUCUACUUCCUCCAUGGGCCUUACAGGAGUCAGGAUUUCAGAGAAAAGAAACCUCACCCAGUGCCUUCUUUCAGUGUCAGCUCCCUGCUUGAGCAGGGAAGAAAAGAAGGAAGAGUGGUGACACCCCUUUAGUGCAGCCUCAGCAAACAUGAAUUUGAUUUUACAAACACGAGGAGUUUGCAAGGCUCUUUCUUGCUGUGUGCAAGAUGGGUCCCAGGAGGAAUGGAUUCUUCUUUCCUGUCAAAGUAUUUAAAUUAUACAGUAAUUAGCUGAAAUUUCUAAAUAGACUGUCACAAGGACUGGGGCCAGGCAGGACUCACAGGAAUGUGUCAGACACUGCUUUGCAAAAUCAGGCUCCAAUUUACUUUCCCUCUCCUUCGGCUGAGUAUCCUGAAGGAUAUUCCUGGACUGUGUCAGAGAGCAUCUCUCUCGGCCCAAUAGAAGAAUAACAUUGAUUUCACUUGGGCAGAGCAGGAAAUGGAACAGUCUCACUUCUGGGUAAAUGAGUUGAGUGUAUAGAAAUUUUCUGUGGUUUGGGUUUUUUCUUUCUUUUUUUUUCCUCCUUGGGUCACUCACCAAAGUGCUUCUCCAGUCAUAGGGAAAGGCACAGGGGAAGAUGGACUCCAAUUUCUCUCAUCUGUUUCUGUGCUGGUUUUGCAUUGAUUGGCGGUUGGGGAAGAAGUAAGAAACCACCCAUGAAAAUGAGUUUUCUGAGAGAAGCUACUAAGAGCUUCCUCUGUACCUGAAAAAGGCCAAUAGCUGGCUAGUUCUGAGAACUG